rnacentral:rRNA from 1 species
UACGUAGGGACCGAGCGUUGUCCGGAAUCAUUGGGCGUAAAGAGCGUGUAGGCGGCCAAUUAAGUCCUGCGUGAAAUCUCGGGGCUCAACCCCGAGCGGUCGUGGGAAACUGGUUGGCUAGAGUGCGGGAGAGGAGAGUGGAAUUCCUGGUGUAGCGGUGAAAUGCGCAGAUAUCGGGAGGAACACCUGUGGCGAAAGCGGCUCACUGGACCACAACUGACGCUGAGGCGCGAAAGCUAGGGGAGCAAACAGG